ACGGAAGGCAGCAGUGGGGGAUAUUGCACAAUGGGGGAAACCCUGAUGCAGCGACGCCGCGUGAGUGAUGAAGUAUUUCGGUAUGUAAAGCUCUAUCAGCAGGAAAGAUAAUGACGGUACCUGACUAAGAAGCACCGGCUAAAUACGUGCCAGCAGCCGCGGUAAUACGUAUGGUGCGAGCGUUAUCCGGAUUUACUGGGUGUAAAGGGAGCGCAGACGGCAUGGCAAGCCAGAUGUGAAAACCCGGGGCUCAACUCUGUGGAUUGCUUUUGGAACUGUUGAACUAGAGUGCAGGAGGGGUAAGCGGAAUUCCCAGUGUAGCGGUGAAAUGCGUAGAUAUUGGGAGGAACACCAGUGGCGAAGGCGGCUUACUGGAAUGCAACUGACACUGAGGCUCGAAAGCGUGGGGAGCAAACAGGAUUAGAUACCCUGGUA
rnacentral:rRNA from 1 species